UACGAAGGGUGCAAACGUUGCUCGGAAUCAUUGGGCGUAAAGCGCACGUAGGCGGCUUCGCAAGUCGGAUGUGAAAUCCCUCGGCUCAACCGAGGACGUGCAUACGAAACUGCGGAGCUUGAGUGCUGAAGAGGAUCGCGGAAUUCCCGGUGUAGAGGUGAAAUGCGUAGAUAUCGGGAGGAACACCUGUGGCGAAAGCGGCUCACUGGACCACAACUGACGCUGAGGCGCGAAAGCUAGGGGAGCAAACAGG
rnacentral:rRNA from 1 species